rnacentral:lncRNA from 1 species
AAAGGCACCAGGGUGUUUCUCAGGUUCCAUCAGUGUGAUAGAGCAUAUUCCCUAGGAAGCAGGACACACAUGUGAUAGUAUAUUACCAAAAUUCAUGAUCGAUCCAAUUAUGUGAAUGGAGUUUGGAGAAAUGAGUGCUGAUGAGUAAAGCCUCCUCAUUAAUUUGGAAGCAGUGCUCAGAGAAGAUGAUCUGUUUCUGAUUGCUGAUCCCAGUUGAUUGGACAGAAGUAUCCGCAAGGAAGAGGACAAUUCACCCAGGAGACAAUAUUUGCAAAACCCUGAUGACCUUGUUUAAAGAUGAAAAGGGAUAUUGGAAUGUGUUCUGGAAGGUUGCUAGCGAUUUGUAUGAUGGCAGAAAAGCCCCACACUUUCUCAGCUUCUGGAAGACGUGUUAGCAGGAAAGGAACUAUCUGCACCAGCAUAUCCAUGGCAAGAGCUGUUCAUACCCUCGGACUCUUACUAAGUGAGGGCUGAUCUGCUGAGCAUUUGCCUUGGGAUUGAACGUUGGAUUGUGUUUCUCAUGACAUUUACCAGGUUAAAUCUGUAGCUCAUUUUUAUUGCAUUUUAGAAUAAACCCAAACUUUUAUCAACAAAGUUUUAUAAGUUUAGAAAGAAUUUUCAUUUUUGCAAGAAAAAUAUUAGCAUUCUACCUUAGAGUGUUACUGUGAGGUUAAAU